rnacentral:rRNA from 1 species
AUUGAACGCUGGCGGCAUGCCUUACACAUGCAAGUCGAACGGCAGCGACGGGGGCAACCCUGGUGGCGAGUGGCGAACGGGUGAGUAAUGCAUCGGAACGUGUCCUCUUGUGGGGGAUAACCAGUCGAAAGACUGGCUAAUACCGCAUGAGAUCGCAAGAUGAAAGCAGGGGACUCCGAGGGUAACUUCGGGGCCUUGCGCGAGGGGAGCGGCCGAUGCCCGAUUAGCUAGUUGGUGGGGUAAAAGCCUACCAAGGCGACGAUCGGUAGCUGGUCUGAGAGGACGACCAGCCACACUGGGACUGAGACACGGCCCAGACUCCUACGGGAGGCAGCAGUGGGAAUUUUGGACAAUGGGGCAACCCUGAUCCAGCCAUGCCGCGUGUGUGAUGAAGGCC